UUUACAUGCAAUCUGUUUAUUGUCAUAUAAGAUUGUAGAAGUAUAUUAUUUUUAAAAAUCAAAAUAGCAGACAGGCAUUCACAUGUUUGUGGAAUUGAACAGCAAAUGUGAUGUGUAUAGAUUCUCUCUCAGGCAAGGAAUCAGGCAAUAACUUUUCAUGGAACUGUUCUGCAAACCUUGAAAGCCAAUGUAUGAUUUAUCUGAGCACCAGAGACUGGCAACACUACUCAUUUUACCAAAGGUUUUGAUCUCAAGAGAUUUAUUCUUAGAUACAUAAUGUGCUUCUUUAGCAAGAUGACCUAUUUUCAGUACAGUUAAAGUCAUGUAGUCCUCGUACAGUGUAUCUGUUUAAUGGAAACUCUGUGAUAUUUGGUGUUUUCCUAUUAUUUCUAGAUUCUGGAAUCUAUUGAUAAAACAAGGAUAUUUGUUUCUCAUCAGAGGAAAGGUGCAAAUUCUAGAGAAAAAGAUGUUGCAAAGUACCACCUCCUGUUCUGAAAGGAACUUGAAGUAAUAUGGAAAGAACCAUAGCAUUAAGGAUGAUUUAUAUGGUUCUGCAUCAACUAACCAGGGCAAUAGCAUCUCAUCUCUCAGGUGGUGUUCAAUGAAGAGCUGUAUCUGGGGACAGACGAAAGCAAGCUGACUAAGACUCAAUGCAAACAACUUUGUCGUGACAAAGAUCAAGUAAGGAACCAAGUAGAGAAGCUGCAAGAAGGAUCAGUAAUGCUUUUGGCUAGGUGUACAUCUGCCAGCUGAUACUACUGUGGCUUGAGGGACAUAGUGGGCAUGAUGGUGAUGAUUUGACCAUUGGGCUAGAUGAUCAUAGCGGUCUUUUACAACCUUAAUGAUUCUAUGACUCUCUCAUUCUAUGAUUCUAGAGUUCUUACUCUGUCUGCAUAAGACUGAGUCAUCCUGAAACCAGUUUGCUGAUAUGGUCUCUCUGCUGAUGCAUGUAGCACAUGCAUUCUCUGUGUUGAGCCCAGAUUUGAAGGUGACAGUGAAGCCCGUUAAUAGACCUAUGACUGGCUGUUUAUGUUGGCAUUAACUUUCCUAUAGAUAUUUUUUUCUGUAAAAAGCAUCAUUUGUUUUUUUUUCCUUCUUUCAAAUAUUGCUGAUGAAUUUAUUGCUUGCCAGUGAAAUCUGUGACAGCCAACAAAAAAGCUCUAGAGGCUAGAGAAAACACAGAGGUAUGUAAAAAUUGCUUUCUUAUCUAAUACCACUCUGAUGCUGUCAUGCCUGCACGGGCCAUCCUGACAGUUAACACUGGGAGGUGAGAAGUGUGAAAGGGGAGCAGUGAGAAUUAACACCAAUAAAAAUAAAGUUAUUCCAAGGAACAGGGUUCAGAGGACCCAGAAGGUGCCACGUGCAAAGCUCUUAUUAUUAUUCAUAUCUGUUUUCAUAAAAGCCAAAUAGACAAACAAACCACUACCCAUACCCAUUCAUACACAUCCCCACACAGCCUGCACAGAGUGCACGCUAAAUUGGCACACUGUGAUCGGUGUUACUGAGAAAUGAAGUCUGGAGGUCAAAGAAAGUGUAUAUGUAUGUGCAGGUAAAAUGGGGCUGUGUGUGCCUAUGCAAGAGUGUUAGCACAGCUUCGAGAUAAAAUGAUGCUAAUUCUAGUAGGCUGUAGGUAAUGGUUUCUUUCUGAAAUUAAAUUAGCCGUGGAAUUCUUGAUUUUUAAAUUUCAUCUGAAGUCUCUUAGGAGAACUGUGAGCGAAGGUGCUUCAAGCACCAGCUCUAGUCCUUGGGCUACGUCCUCUGCCAGCGCUCAUUUCCCAUAUUGCAGACCAUCAACCCUGGAAUAAUGAUGCAGGAUGAAUCAAAUCCCCAAAUACUGGAAUUUACUGGUGAAUUUUCAUUUACCUAUGUAUGUAUGCAAUUUGUAAUAAAUCAUGUGUGUAUUAAAUCAGCUACUGAUGAUGCAUCUGUGAGAAGAAAGACAUCACCUGUGAGUUACAAAUGACUGCUUUUCUUGGCCUGUGGUUUAGGUUAUGAUCUUGGACAGUGUUGUUGCAUAUUCAGGUAUGCAAAGCAUAUUUGGCUUUGAUUACUUGGAAAGCUGAUCAAUAUUCAUGAUAUAAGAAUUCAUGAUAUAAUGUGGUGAUGUUACUUUGGAAUCUGCAGUGAAAACAUAGGUUCCUAUAAUACAGUCUUCAUACUAGGAAUUGUGGAGUUUUUGUGUGGCUUUCAAGCAUGCAAAAUGAUGAAGACAGUGCUUUUUUUUUCCCCACAGAAUGGUUUUCUUUUAGCUACUGACCACUGAUUACACAGAAAACUAGAGUUUUAUUCCUGGCUGUGCCAAAACUAGGUUUAAUAGGGGAACUCUCUGAAAAGCAGUAAGAAAUAUACCUUUCUUUUAUGAGAGUUCAAGUCACAAACAUUGAGGGAAAGGUGAAAGGAAUUUAAAAGUAAUUUUAUCCCCUUAGAAUUUGCAGUAUGUGAUCUAAAUCUUUUCCUAUUCUAAAUACAUUAGAUUAUCUUGUCUCCACUGGAAAACGAAGGAUCUAUUAUAUGCCCUUGCUGCAUUGCUAAGUAACUGAGCUUCCUAAAUCAUACAGUAUAAUCUGCUUUAUGCUGUGUUGACAUGUAGUUGUGCUGACAUAUUAGACCUCUAGUGCCCCAGCUUCUGUGUCUGGAGAGUUUGAUGUAAGGCAGAGCUUCAGAAAAGCUACAGGUCUUUCAGUGCGAGAUCCCAAAUACACCCUAGGAUACUGACCAAAUACUACUCCAGCACACAGCCCACACUGAUAGGCAAGGAAACAUAGCUUCCUAUCUGCUGGGCAGCUGAAUUCUCUGCUGACUUCCAAGAUACAAGAGAGAAACAUUGCAUUAAGCAUCUCCUAGUUCCCAUUUUGCAUGGUUAAAAUACUCAGGACUAUUUCUGAAUAAAUUUGAACAAGUUUAUUUCACAAAAUGUUCUAGCUCUCUGUAGAAAAUGAAGGGGACUCUGUUUCUUAAGAAGAAAUCGAAUGACCAGAAGUGUCAUCAGCAAUUUUAUAGUAAAAAUGUAGAUGACAUCAGUUUGGAAGUGGCACUGGAAUUCAUGAUACAUCUGCAUUAUGCAUAACUAUCCUUGUAUGCCAGAUUCUCCCACAGUGCAUCUUUUCCUCUCACCAAGAGUUUAGGUUAUGACAUGUCAUGGGAGACAAAAUCUGGCCUUUGGAACAUAAGUUCCUCUGAAGCUCGUUGCAGCACUUCAGAAAAAAAUCUGUAAGGAAAAUAGCUGAAACUCUCAGUGUUCUCAGCAUUGUGGUUGUCUGGGGGGUAAACAGCAGUGAGAGGGAUGGGGAACAAGGUCUGCUGUGAGUUUCAGCCAUCCUGCUCUCUGAAAGGAAUUCUGAAGUACCCAAAUUGUGGACAACAGCCAGAACUGAUGUGACCAGAGAAAAGAGCACAUCGCUUCCUAAAAAUGAUAUCCUCCUGUCACUUUCAUAAUUGCCUGUGUCAUUGAAAUUGACAUGGCUCUAUUUAAUCUCAAUAGGUAUUCCCACUCUUCAUUUCUAACCGCUAUUUCUGCCUUUUACAUUAGAGCUAAAGGCAUUUUGAACCUUGCACUUUGCACAGGAGUUAUGAGACAUUCUAAAUUAGGGUGUAUUGAGGGAUACUUUACCUCUGGCUCUCACGUAUUUGAUCUGAGAUUUGUUCUGUAAGCAGCAACAGAGUGAGAAAUUUGCAACUUAAAAGGAUUGAGUUAUAUUUAUGUUCUGAUGUAUCCUCAACUGUAAUAGACUGAGAAACAUUUUAUCUCUAGCGUUUGCACUUUGCUCUAAGACUUGCACCCUUUAAGGAGGACUGAAAUUGCUCUUUUCUCUUGGUGAUGAAUGGCUUGAGUUUCUGAGAUCCUAAUUGAGUGCCAUAGUGAGGAAACCUUAAAAAUAAAUAGUAUGGGACUCUCUAAGGACUGAAUAAGAUGUUGACCUCUUUUCGUUCAAAAUGCACCAGCAGAAAGAAUCACUUGGAAAGGGAAAUGCAAAACAACCAUUAUUGUCAGCAGUCUCCAUCUUUCCAAAAUCUAUAGCUUGUUCAUGUGCCAUAGUUGUUUUUGAUAGGACAAUGAAUAGUAUUAAAUCAAAACCAACUGAAUGUCGUGAUAAUACUACUGUAAUAAAUCAAGAUGUGCUGGUCAAUAUUUUAGGAGCUGUAUGUCUCAGAUUAGGCUGUAAAUAUGCACAGAAGAAAUGAAAACAUGGACCACAGAACGUGAUAAAUGACCCCCAUAAAAUGUUGAUGUAAUUUUACUGCAGCAGUGAAAGGCUAUAGAAAAUGGUGAGGAUUUUCUUCAUGCUGAGGCUGCAUUUGGUAGUGAACGUUUCUUAUACUUUUGCACUAGAUAAAACAAUCAACACUUAGAGAAGACAACACAGUGUUUAGUGGGUGAUGUAACUGAAGAUAUACUGUGUAAUUCAGUUGCCUGCAUGCACGUUGAAGCUCUGAAGUGAAUGCACAGAUAACGCAACUUGCUUUUCCCUGUGGUAUUCCAGGAAUCUAAAAUAGAUCUGUGAGGAAUUCAGGGCUCGAAUGUUGCUACAGGGAUACAUGACAUCUGCCCAUGGAGCUGGUUUGGGGAUGUCUUUUCUGGGCUAAAACCUUCUGGAGCCAGAUCUUAAUAUGAGCUUGCCUGCAGUGAAAUUUGCUCAGCUUCACCUAGCAAAGCCAAUGUGCCAGACUUUCAAAUUAAGGCUACUUCCAGUAGUGGGCAGAUGCAGCUUUGAAAGAGAGAAAUGCUUCAGGAUAGACCCGUUGUCAUUGGAGGUAGAGAUAUACUAAAGAAGUUGCAAGAACAAAUUACACCUGUAGCCAGAAAAAUUCAAGUACAUAUCCCUGAGGAUGAAGCCAUAGAGGCCCAGGUCUUCGUGUUACAGGAAUCACCUCCUGAAUCUGAAAUACCCGAGGAAGUAGACAACAUGGUAUGUCGUUGUAUGUGCACCUUUACUCCUGGAUGGACUUGUACACCGGUACCAACCUGCAGAUUGAGUGUACCUGAAGACAGGGUCAGAUAAGGAGAAGUGGAGAGGACCCUUCCAGACUUUACUCACCACCCAUGCAGCAGUCAGACUCAAGGGAAUCAGCCUAUGGAUUCACUGCAGUAGAGUCAAGCAGGUUUCUCAUAACAAUAAGUAAUGCAUUUAUUAACGGUGAGGGAAUGAAUGUGAAAGUGAAAAUUUGGUUUUAACAUUAAUACAAGGGUUUGGUAGGAUGUGCAAUGUCACUAGCAUCUGCGUAAUCAUAAUUAUAAGAGGUAUAGGACUGUAUAAGAUGUAUUAAAAGAUAUUUUGAAAGAAAUAUGUGGAAGUAAUUAGAAGAACUAACUAUUUACUUCCCAAGGAGGAAAUUGAUACCUGGCAAUUAAUUAACCACAGGCCCCUUGCAAGGACCCCAUACUAACACAGAGCGUGUGCAGUAUUAGAUUUUAACAUAUAUAGUAAUUCUUGUAAUAGGCAGGCACUCUGUGGAAAAUGUAUGAAUAUUCACACAUGUUCAGUGUAUCUGUGUAUAUCUAUCAAUGUAUCUAUUCAAUCAAUCUGUGUGCUUUUAGCUCCUGGCUUUGCACGUUAGGCGGAGCAAUCCCCUGUGCAUCCAGUAACACAAUAACAAUAUUGUCACAAUAACAAAUGCCUGCUUCUUAAUGCUACAUUAGCAUUAAUGAGUUUUGUUCCUGAUUUCAGUGGCAGAAUUGGUGUUAUUUCUUUUUUUUUUCUUUUUUUUUUUUUCCCCCACCAAGUAUGAGGGCAAGACAUUAUGUGGGUGUAUGAGGUAUCUUUAGAUAUGCAGUGAGACAACUCAGGCACUGGGGAAAACUCAUCUCUGGAUACUGUCUCUGUCUCCCAUUUUAUUUAAGUUUCUUUCAGCUGCUGCCAUGAGCCCAGGAUAUCUCUUUUCAGCUGGCAGGAGCUGACAUAGCAGAAAUAGCUAUCAAAUAUGAUAUAGGUUCUCCCUUUGAAUGCUCCUUCUUGCACCAUUCUUGGUACAGUUUAGGGUACCAGUAGAAGAAAUGAAGAAAGCAGACAUCAAAGAUACUGCACAAGGUCAGUCAGCACCGAGAAGAGCCAACCGUCCUUCUAUAUCUGAUGCAAAGUGCCACAUCUUAGCUUUGUUUUCUUUUUCAAAAACUCUACUGGAAUUUGAAGAGGUUUUAAAACACCAGUACAUGAUUUGAAUAAUUGUAUGCUCCAAGGAAUGUAUGCCACCCAGAACAACUGGUCUGUCCCAGAGAAAUAGUACAACACUUCCGAAACGGAAGAAAAGCCUGACUUCUACUGACUUCAGUCUUCUUUUGCAAGUGGGACUUCCCACUGAGAAUCUAAAUAUGCAUCAGAUGUCUAAAAACAGUAAAUCAUUUAAGGGUUUUAACUGGGAAAAUAGUUCAGCAGCCCUUAUGAAUUAUUACUUUUUCACAUUAUUGCAAUUAAAAAUCCUCAUUUUCUCAGUGUUUGCAUAAGCAAAGUGGUUUGCCUACGGUGAAUGCAGCUCCACUGAAGGAUGUGAUACCUACUCUGCAUUGGUGCUCUCUGUUCCAAUGGGUGCAACUCUGCCAAUACUGCAGAAAUUUGAGGAUGCUUUUCUCUGAAGCAGUAGUGUUUAAAAUUUCAUCCUGUCCAUUAGAUUGCUCCAGAAUUAGCCUUGUAAGUACAUCUGAGUUCUGUGGCAUCAUGUUGCACUAAAAGCCAGUCUCUGAGAUGAGGGACUCAGGCAGUUUAUUUAUAGUUCAGAAGGUCAAAUAGUUGCCUUAAUUGGAAAACACCACUCACCAGUCUCUGAGCGUAUUGAUGUACUUUGCAUUCGAUGCCAUUAGUUACUUGUGUGAGUUUCUAAUAUCACCUUUGUUAAUAAGAUACAUUCUCCAUAAUGGGCUGCUUGCAGGUUCCAAGAGCCAUUUAUAUGCUAAGUUUGACAAGUUAGAUGAUGCUAAACCCAUACUGAAAGCAAUAGCUGUCAGAACUGUACCUGGGUGCCAGGCAGAUGUCUGUGACCUUCAAACUGUUUUGGGAUGGGAUGUGCUAAAUCCCGUCUGUAUGGUAUGUGACCAGGCAGCAAAGGUAUUUCUUCAAAUAUAUCUUGAAUUCCUGCCAGAAAAGUUGUAUAUAAACCUCACAGCAAAAGUUUGAUGGACUUGGCUUGUAGUAGAAGGAAGGUGAAAUAAAGUCACAGAAUCACAGAAGUUGGAAGGGACCUCAAGAGAUCAUUGAGUCCAACCCGCUGCCAAAGCAGGUGCCCUACAACAGGUCACACAGGUUGGUGUCCAGACAGGACUUGAAUAUCUCCAGAGAAGGAGAAGGCAAGGUGCUCCCAACAUGUCUGAAUUAAAGCAUACGAUAGCAAACACACUGAGUGAUUUGAGAGACCUGAAGAUCUCUCAUCCAUAGAGAUGCAGAUUAGGGAAAAAAAAACCACAAAAACAAACCUCUUCUCAACGCAAAGGAAACUAUCUUAAAGAAGUCUAAAAAAUUCCUCUUGAUUUCACUUCUGCUGUUCCCACACUUUCCCUUGCCUACUAUUGUUGCUGAAGGUCAUGUCAAGUUUUACAUGUAGUAUGGCCCAGUAGACACAUGAUCUUAACCAUAGGAGGAAGGCAAAAUGUUAAUGUUCAUUGUGUGGAUUUAUGUAGGAAGGGAGCAAGGAAGAGGAUUAAUAUGGAGGUGGCUAAUGCUGGGACUACUCCAAGUUUCUCUGGAAUCGAGCUCAGGAUGGCAUAUACAAAUAGGAAUCACACCUCUGGUUUGAUGUGAGGGGGUGUGACUAGUGAAGUUGCUGAUGUGAAGUUUUCUGGGUCCCUUAAGAGGUUAGGGGAGAAUAAGGCUAAUAUUAGGAAGGGGAUAAAGGCAUGGGCUGAGAUGUGAAGGAAAGCUAGUUGUGAGAGAUCAAGUCCAGUGGUGACUAUUAUUAAGCUUAGCUGGCUGGAGGUGAACCUGAGGAUGUCUUUUAAUGAGAAGUAGUGAUAGAAGGGAUGGGUUGGGAGGUGAAUUAGGGAAUUGCUGACUAUUUUUAGUAGGGGAUGGGAUUUUCAGAUGUUGAGGGCCAUUAUUUUAUUAUCUAUGGGCUGAUAGAUUAAUUAUUAACAUUGAUAGAGUGAAGAAUCCUCAGUAGGUUUUGAUUAAGCCUGUGGAAUGUAGUUGUGAUUUUGCUUGCUGUCAGGUGGAGGUUAGCAAAGCCUUUGGGGCCUAUUUUCUUGUGUCAGGAUAUAUCGAUUAGGUGAAAGGCAAUUUUUUGUCCUUUAUUUAGUAGGUCUGUACAGCUGGAUCAGAGCAUUAGGGAGCUUAAAGUAGCCUAAGGAGGAGAAGUUUCUAAGGGUACUUUGUUUUAAGGGGAAGGUAAAGGUGUGGGUUAUAUUUGAAGUUCUAGAACUAGAAUAAUUCUGAGAAUUGUGAGCACAUAUAUAUGUAUUUUUAUAUAUAUAUAUAUAUGUAUAUAUAAACACUAAUAACCCAAUGAAACAUCCUACCAGUCCAAAUCACAUCCAUCCAAAACUCUAUCAUUUAUCAUAAACUUCAUAAUCCCCCUAACCUUAAAAAUAGACCCAUGCUCAAUACUAUUUUUCCAAUUGCAUAAUUUGUAACUUGAUCAAUCCUGGAAUUUGUAACAUGAUGCAUAGCCUCAGAACCAUGUAUCAAGAAAUUCUUCACCUAUCUUCUUUACGUCCGAAUUGCCAUACUAACCAUUGCAAACAGCAUAUUCCUUCUUUUGUAGGCUGAGAGGAAUUAUGUCAUUCCUAUUCAUUGGCUGAUGACAAUGUCAAGCCAAAACUAACACAGCAGCAUUAAAAGCUGUAGUCUACCACCAGAUUGAAGAUAUAUAAGGCAAUGUAAUAUAACACAAAAUAGAGAUAAGCAUGUGAGUUUUUAACACUUGAAUUCAGUACUGUGCAGUACAAAGUACAAAGGAUCUAAGUAGAGUAAAUUUAAAUUUAAGAAGGUAAGCAGUUUUAGUUAGUUUAAAAUGGCAGGCUGGAGUAUUUAUUUGAUAAAAAGUCAUUCAAGUAUUUGACAGAAAGUCAUAGAAAUGAAAAAGCUAGACAUAACUGUUUUUAAAACAGCAUAACAACAUAAAAUGGGAAGAAGAGAGACUGAGAUUGUACUAUUAAUGUUUUCAUGAAGAAACAAAACACCAGACUUAAACAAGCAAACUCUAGUGGAGGAAAUAGAAACCCUAUUUUCUGCGGAGUGUGCAGUGAGACAUAAUGGCUGUAUAACUUCUAAAAGUUUAUAGUUUAGUGGUGCAGGCUCAGAAUAAAAGAAUUCAAUAGCAAAAUGAGUCAACACUUAAACCUAAAUUGUAAUUUAUAAGGGACUCUCUUCUCACGCAAAUCAAAUUUGGAAGCAGAAUAAUGUCUUCUGAUAGCGAGGCAGUAUUUGCUGAAUGUUCUGGGUGGCAGUUUGCAAUACACAGACAUUUGAAAUUACAUUUAUAAAAUAAAUGUUCAAUUCAAAACAAUUUUUAGCCUAUUUGCUGACACAUAAUACAAAAUUGUUGCUACACUAUAUAUUUCUUCAUAUAAGGCAUUGCAACACGCAGACAGUAAUGAAAAAUGGAGGCAACAGAGUUCUUGCAAAUGAAAGCAAGAAUGUAACUCUGUUCUUCCUGCUUCCCACCAGGGAAUGGUGGCUUCCAAAACACUGGAAAACAAGGCAGUUGGUGAGAAAGUCUCAGAAUUGACUCCAUGUGUUAAAAAAAGAAGGCCAAACAAAGCCAAGAGUGGUCACUCCCUGGCAUGUGCACCCUGCCUGAUACUUCAGGGAG
ensembl:lncRNA